UCUCUCUCUCUCUCUGUCUGCUGUCACACCUUUGUGUUUGACCUUGCUGUCUGUGGGAUCCUGCUGUAUGGAACAGCUGCUGUUACCUGUGAAGCACUGGGUGACUGCAAGUCAAACAAGCUGUCUGUCUCACUCAUGAAAAAGUUGAUUUCAAACUGAACUCUGCACAUCGUCCAGGAAACCCUUUGACAAAUGAUAGCGAGGCCUUGGUUGAAGGUUAAUCAUGAAAACUUGCAAAGCCUUUGCAAAAGUGGUGGACAAAUGUAGGACAGUAAUGGGCUGGGUUGGCAGCAGUUCCGGGGCAGAGGCGAGAGCCUGGCAGCACCAUGUCGAUGCCCGCCCUGCCCCACCAGCCAGAGUGGGCCUCCAUGAGACAAGCUUCGAGCAAGCAGAAACGUCUGGAGGAAUACCUGAACACAAUGCUUGAGAAAUCCUUCUACAGAAACUAUCACGCAAUGGUAAGGCCAAUCCCUGAGUUCCCCUCUCUCUGUGAUAUGUGUCAUAAAACCUCCACCUCUUC